rnacentral:rRNA from 1 species
AGUAAUACUUAGGAAUCUACCUAGUAGUGGGGGAUAGCUCGGGGAAACUCGAAUUAAUACCGCAUACGUCCUACGGGAGAAAGCAGGGGAUCAUUAGACCUUGCGCUAUUAGAUGAGCCUAAGUCGGAUUAGCUAGAUGGUGGGGUAAAGGCCUACCAUGGCGACGAUCUGUAGCUGGUCUGAGAGGAUGAUCAGCCACACCGGGACUGAGACACGGCCCGGACUCCUACGGGAGGCAGCAGUGGGGAAUAUUGGACAAUGGGGGGAACCCUGAUCCAGCCAUGCCGCGUGUGUGAAGAAGGCCUUUUGGUUGUAAAGCACUUUAAGCAGUGAAGAAGACUCUUCGGUUAAUACCCGGGGACGAUGACAUUAGCUGCAGAAUAAGCACCGGCUAACUCUGUGCCAGCAGCCGCGGUAAUACAGAGGGUGCAAGCGUUAAUCGGAAUUACUGGGCGUAAAGCGAGCGUAGGUGGCUUGAUAAGUCAGAUGUGAAAUCCCCGGGCUUAACCUGGGAACUGCAUCUGAAACUGUUAGGCUAGAGUAGGUGAGAGGGAAGUAGAAUUUCNGGUGUAGCGGUGAAAUGCGUAGAGAUCUGAAGGAAUACCGAUGGCGAANGCAGCUUCCUGGCAUCAUACUGACACUGANGCUCGAAAGCGUGGGUAGCAAACAGGAUUANAUACCCUGGNAGUCCNCGCCGU